AGGAACAAGUUUUAUCAGCAUUUUCCCUAAUUUGUGGUAAUUUGUCAGCUCAAAAAGAGGUUUUUGAAGUAAACUGUCAUUUCUGAUCAUUACAACGUUAUCAUCAACUAAUCUGCUAACGUUGAAGUGCUUCAUUUUUACUGGCAACUAUGGGAUGUUGCAUUUGCUUUUGGGUUUGUUACUUAAUUAAGCAGGGAAGGGGCUAAUAAUAUUCAUAUAUGCGCAUACUUCUGUAUUGUUUUGUAUUGAAAUCAAUCAUUAUUACGAAUUGUACAAUAUUAAUAUAUAAAUAUAGCGCCCUUAUUUAUCAA